UGCUGGGGCCAAAUAGAUAGGUAUAAAAAGUGAAAUUACCAAAUUAGCCUUGCUGCCACGUAUCUGUCACUGUGUACCGGUACAAGGUGAUGGCUGUACCGGUACACAAUGCAAAAUUUCACCAGAAAUGCACUUUCUUGCUUCCGGCCAAUUGAUCACUUCUCUAACUUAUCCAAAAACUUGUUUAAGCCUUUUAAAAGAUGUAGAAUAGUUUCACUUAUCAUUCCACACACUCGAACUUCGCAAUUUACUAAAGUUCAGUGUACUACAUCCAUAUUGAAUAAUUAAAAUUUAAAGAAUAAAAUUAAAAUAUAUUUCUUUCUAAAAAUACUUAAAUCAAAUAAAUAAAAUGAAUAAAUCAAUUUAAAAUAAAACAAUAGCUUAUUACAGUAUUAAGAAAGCUAAAU
rnacentral:lncRNA from 1 species